rnacentral:rRNA from 1 species
UACGAAGGGGGCUAGCGUUGCUCGGAAUGACUGGGCGUAAAGGGCGCGUAGGCGGACGGCUUUGUCGGGCGUGAAAUUCCAGGGCUUAACCUUGGGGCUGCGUUCGAGACGGGUUGUCUAGAGUUUGGAAGAGGGUCGUGGAAUUCCCAGUGUAGAGGUGAAAUGCGUAGAUAUUGGAAAGACCACCGAUGGCGAAGGCACUCUACUGGGCCAUUACUGACACUGAGAGACGAAAGCUAGGGGAGCAAAUGGG